GAAGCAGUUACAAGAUUUUAUGUUGCCUGGUGGUGUAUCAGUUGGGACUUUUGUCUGCACGUAACAGAAUGACCCUGCGAUAGUUUAAGCAGAAAAGCAAAUUUAUGCUGAGGCUGCGGGGACAGCUUGUGAGCACAGGGCUGGGAGGCGUGCACUCAGGGAAGGGAGACGGCUUCCCCCUUCAUCUGCUUGACCCCGGCCCCCGGAGCCACGCGAUGGUCGAGUUCUCAGUUCUGCCCCCCACCCAAAUUCCGACUUCUCCUUCUGGGCUCUGGCGCACAAUUCCAAGGGGGGACCAGGAUCCUGGCAGACAUCAGAUGACACAGUCAGUCCAUUAGGGUAAUUCCAGGAGGGCUUAACAAAGAGACCAGUUACUAACGUGCGGGCAGGGAGAGGGUAAGGGAACCACAAGGGACCAGAAGACAGGAGGCAGCCUCUGGGGGCUGUGACCUCAGCGGGGACACAGCCAGAGACGGGGAGCCAGCAGGAACGGCAGGUAUCCUGACUCCUGGCCCCCCUCCUCCCCAUCUCCUGCUGCGCUCCCCAACAGGCCAAACGCAGGGGGGAAGCGGAAGUCCCAGGGGGACCCCCAGGGGGAGGCAGGCUGAUGUUGGCCACACUGACUCGCUUGCCAGCACAGAAAGCGGGUGGGCAAAGCCCUGCCUCACCUGUCUGGUAUCGGGAGUAUCCGCACAAGAAGACCCUGAUUGGCCCAGCUUGGAUCACGUGUCCAUCCCUGAGCCAAUCGGCUGAGACCAGGAGAAGCGUCAAGUGUGCCAAUAUGGCAGCCCCCACGUGAAGGCGGAUGCAGGGGUGGAGCGGGUGGCACCUGCGGAGAAUGAGCCCGCCGCGCCGAGUGCCCCCGCCCCACGCCUCUCUUGAUAACGUCACGACUGCCUCACAGCACGGCCGAAACGCGCGGGCCACCGACCCCCAAGCGCGGCGCCCUCGUCCACGCUGAAUAUGGGGCGGGAAUGUUCCUGAGACACCCCAAAUUCGGCAGCCCUGGCUUUGGAAGAUAACUGGGAGGAGUCCAAGAGGGAUCCAGUAUCUAGGCCCCAAAGAUACUUUCUGAAGCCCCAGUUUUGUUCUGUUACUCUACUGAUGAGCCUCGACCCCGGUGAGCAGUCCCUUCUGGGAGCUGGAACCGGGCCGGGCUCCCUGGUCUGAACCCUCCAGGCUGCUCAAGAAGGCAGCAGGGUUGAAAACCGCAUGCAGGCGCCAUCCUGGGGGCCCUCCUUUGGUGCAAAAGUACUCAAAAUGAUGAACACGGGUUCCCGUGGCCAGAGUGUCAUCACUUCAUGACAUCUGGGCUCCACAGUCCUCUCCUAGAUCAGAGACCUCUGCUGCCAUCAGUCCCCCCAGGUGUCGUGGGGAGGGGAGGGGACAGGAGGGCAACCAACCGAAGCCUGAGCCUUGCCUUCCAAUCCCCUACUCCUCCCCGUCUGCCAUCCUCCCCCUCCUCUUUCCCCUCCCCGUGCCAGCACCCGGAGCCCAGAAAGGUUGGUCCCCCCAGAGACACCCCGAGGGAGCCAUCUCAGACACUGCAUUUUCCUCUGCUCCCCUCCCCCUGGCUGGAUUUCUAGAACUAGGAGCUGAUGCUGCAGACUAGGGGAGCUUUGCUCCCAGUGAACUUGAACCCCGGGGGUUUCUAACCCCCAAAGAGACCAGGCCCUAAUAGGUGCGCCAAGGGGGCAGGUGGCCAACAUCAGGACCAAAGACUUCCCUCCUUCACUCCCUUCUCUCUGCACGUGGAGCUCGUGGGCAUUUCUCGUGACUCACUCCUGCUGGCUAGCGACAUUUCAGCAUGUGCAAGACUAGAACCAGGCGCGCCCCCGCAGAUCAGGUGGGGGCGGACCAUGAGGAUCCCCUUUCACAGAAAGCAGCAGCGGACCGUACACUGCAGGAGAACCCGGCGGGCCUGGCCCCUGGAGGUGGCUGGAGAUGGUAACUUUCAUUCUGGAGAAAGCAAGUCUCCAAACUCACCAAGGUCAGCUGGAGAGGCCAGUGGGCCUCAGAGCCCAGACAUCUAACCACCCGGCCACCUUGCCCCAUCCGCGCGGGGCAGAGAAGGCUCCGGGGCCUCAGAUGCCACAUAAGGGAGAAGCCCAUGUUUGGGGGGAGGUGGGGGGAGGUGUGCACCGGGAUCACGCCAAAGCCAGCCGGCACAGGCAUCCGGUGUCUUCUUGGCUCUGGAGGAAGGAGGCGAUGAGGGGGCAGUGAGGGAUUCGGCCUGAACCCCAGGCGCAGACGCAGCAGAGGAACUUGGAUCUAAUGCUGAACGUCUCUGUGCUCACAUUUUGGAAGAAUAAAUACUGUGUUCACCCAAAGCCCU